UAUGGCCACAUCACAUUGAAACACAGGUUCCUGUAUGAUCACCAAAGUUAAAGCAACAUUAAGCUUGGUCAGUACCUAGAUGAGUGACCACUUGGGAAGAUCAAGUGAUGUA